rnacentral:rRNA from 1 species
UACGUAGGGUGCAAGCGUUGUCCGGAAUUAUUGGGCGUAAAGAGCUCGUAGGCGGCCUGUUGCGUCCGCUGUGAAAUCCCGGGGCUCAACCCCGGGCCUGCAGUGGAUACGGGCUGGCUGGAGGCAGGCAGGGGAGAACGGAAUUCCUGGUGUAGCGGUGGAAUGCGCAGAUAUCAGGAGGAACACCGGUGGCGAAGGCGGUUCUCUGGGCCUGUUCUGACGCUGAGGAGCGAAAGCGUGGGGAGCGAACAGG